rnacentral:tRNA from 1 species
GCCGGGGUGGCGGAAUUGGCAGACGCACAGGACUUAAAAUCCUGCGGUUAGUGAUAACCGUACCGGUUCGAUCCCGGUCCUGUCCUCGGCACUA